GACGAACGCUGGCGGCGUGCUUAACACAUGCAAGUCGAGCGGUAAGGCCCUUUCGGGGGUACACGAGCGGCGAACGGGUGAGUAACACGUGGGUGACCUGCCCUCAGCUCUGGGAUAAGCCUGGGAAACUGGGUCUAAUACCGGAUAUGACCUGCCACUGCAUGGUGGUGGGUGGAAAGUUUUUCGGCUGGGGAUGGGCCCGCGGCCUAUCAGCUUGUUGGUGGGGUGAUGGCCUACCAAGGCGACGACGGGUAGCCGGCCUGAGAGGGUGUCCGGCCACACUGGGACUGAGAUACGGCCCAGACUCCUACGGGAGGCAGCAGUGGGGAAUAUUGCACAAUGGGCGCAAGCCUGAUGCAGCGACGCCGCGUGAGGGAUGACGGCCUUCGGGUUGUAAACCUCUUUCAGCACAGACGAAGCGCAAGUGACGGUAUGUGCAGAAGAAGCACCGGCCAACUACGUGCCAGCAGCCGCGGUAAUACGUAGGGUGCGAGCGUUGUCCGGAAUCAUUGGGCGUAAAGAGCUCGUAGGUGGUUUGUCGCGUUGUUCGUGAAAACCGGGGGCUUAACCCUCGGCGUGCGGGCGAUACGGGCAGACUGGAGUACUGCAGGGGAGACUGGAAUUCCUGGUGUAGCGGUGGAAUGCGCAGAUAUCAGGAGGAACACCGGUGGCGAAGGCGGGUCUCUGGGCAGUAACUGACGCUGAGGAGCGAAAGCGUGGGGAGCGAACAGGAUUAGAUACCCUGGUAGUCCACGCCGUAAACGGUGGGUACUAGGUGUGGGUUUCCUUCCUUGGGAUCCGUGCCGUAGCUAACGCAUUAAGUACCCCGCCUGGGGAGUACGGCCGCAAGGCUAAAACUCAAAGGAAUUGACGGGGGCCCGCACAAGCGGCGGAGCAUGUGGAUUAAUUCGAUGCAACGCGAAGAACCUUACCUGGGUUUGACAUGCACGGGACGCCGGCAGAGAUGUCGGUUCCCUUGUGGCCUGUGUGCAGGUGGUGCAUGGCUGUCGUCAGCUCGUGUCGUGAGAUGUUGGGUUAAGUCCCGCAACGAGCGCAACCCUUGUCUCAUGUUGCCAGCGCGUUAUGGCGGGGACUCGUGAGAGACUGCCGGGGUCAACUCGGAGGAAGGUGGGGAUGACGUCAAGUCAUCAUGCCCCUUAUGUCCAGGGCUUCACACAUGCUACAAUGGCCGGUACAAAGGGCUGCGAUGCCGUGAGGUGGAGCGAAUCCUUUCAAAGCUGGUCUCAGUUCGGAUCGGGGUCUGCAACUCGACCCCGUGAAGUCGGAGUCGCUAGUAAUCGCAGAUCAGCAACGCUGCGGUGAAUACGUUCCCGGGCCUUGCACACACCGC
rnacentral:rRNA from 1 species